AAGACAACACCAGGGUUAAAAGGGAUGUAAAGUAGCGUCAUGCAUCGCUGUCAUUCCUGAAACAACCACCAGAUGGAGCCAAAGGAACAACUUUAAAUCCUCACAGUAGAUGUAGCUAACAUUUAAAUCAAGCUACAUGGUUCCAGACUGGUGAUAUCAACAUUAUCUGUUUCUUAUUGCUUUCAGGACCCAGAGAAGGAGGUUUCUGAUUGGCUGUCGGACCUGACGCUGGUCGACCAACACCCUGAUCUGGAGGGCCUCCCGGACCCCCAGACCGUGUCCUCCAGCAUCCAGCAGAUGUGGGCUCUGACGGAGGUGAUGCAGACCAACCAGACCACAGCCUCCAUCGGCCGGUUUGACGUGGAUGGACGCUACGACAUCAACCUGCUCUCCCUGACGUAACCCGGCCGCUGACUUCUUACUCUACGUGUACAUAACGCUCUCUUUCUGGAAGAUAUAAUGACUACAACUAUUAAAAUGUCUACUUCCUGUUUAACAGCCUAUCACAGUGUUAGUUCACGAUGACU